ACUUCUAAAUCACUUCGCCAGCAUUAUGUCCAUCCCUGGAAUAUGGUUUUCUUGAUUGUAACUAAAUAAAAGAAAGUUUAUUGAAGUUCAUUAGGACUGCCAUGUCAAUGCAAUACAUGUGUAUGUUAUACAUGUACACUUGCAUAGUGUUUUGUACAUGGUUGAUUCUCUUUACACAGUAGGUUUACUUUGUGGUUUGUAACACUCACUUGUAUUUUCUGUUAACAUCCAAUGAAGUUCUUUUGAAGUCAGAGAAUUAAAUGUUGCUGAUUUAAUAUUGCAGUGUGCAAGUGUCCAGCUUUCUGUGCUCAUACCAUCUGCCAGUAAAGAGGCAAUCAACCUCGUCUCGUCACUUUGCUCAUGGGACCCCAGCAAGAGGCCAACGGCUGUAGAGGCCCUCCAACAUUCAAAUGCACGGUAUGCUAUCAAGUCAUCAGCUGUCAAAUAUUGGCAGAGUGGUUCUCUUUCUAUUUGUAUGUUUUCUUGAAAAAAUCUUGGCUGCAGGUUGGACAUGAGAUGCAGGUAGCAUUCUGUCUCAUCCAGAAGUAUGUUGAUAUGCAAUCUAUUGGAGCUAAAUUACAGAUAAUAUCUGCAUUUUCUGUUGAGCAUGUGAAAGGUUAUAUUUAUAUUGAAGCUGAUAGGGAACGUGAUGUCGUUGAGGUAUUUUCUUGCAGAUGUAGGGCACUUUCAUUUCUUCUUUUUCCCUUUUUACAUGCUUUCCAGACUAAUUAGGAAUGGAACCAAUUUUCAAAACAGGUAUGUAAAGGGCUUUGUAGUAUAUAUUCUAGUAGAGUGGUGCUGGUUCCCAAAAAUGAAGUUCUCUAUCUACUUUCUCUUCAAAUCAAAUCAAGGGAAGUUUCUAAGGGCACAUGGGUCCGCGUGAAGUAUUGGAAAUACAAAGGGGACCUUGCACAGGUUGUGGCUGUUGAUGAUGCACGGAAGAGGCCACCGUAAAGCUGAUUCCAAGGAUCGAUCUCCAAGCCAUGGCACAAAAAUAUAUAUGUAAUUUCUUUCUUCCAGAAAAUUUAUGUGGCAGUGAUUUUGGAAUUGUGAAGCAACUACUGUUGGUUGCAUGCUAUUGUUUUCUAACCAACAUU